rnacentral:rRNA from 1 species
CCGUGGUAUUCUGACCAUGCGAAGGUAGCAUAAUUAUUUGCCCUCUAAUUAGGGGCUGGAAUGAAAGGCUAGACGAGGAACUAUCUGUCUCUACUUUUAGUUUGAAUUUAAUCUCUUGGUGAAAAAGCUAAGAUUAUCUUGAAGGACGAUAAGACCCUAUAGAUCUUUAUAAGACAAAAGUCUAUUAUCUGGAAGUAAACAAAUAGAUUCCACUCUUAUUCUGUUGGGGCGACACUGAGAAAGAUUAAUCACUCAGUCUAUCCAAACAAUUACAAUUGGUCAAAUGAUCCUUAACUGAAUACGGAAAAAGUUACCUUAGGGAUAACAGCGUAAUUUCCCUUAAGAGUUCAAAUCGACAGGGGAGUUUGCGACCUCGCUGUUGGUUCAGGGCUCCUGUUGGGUGUA